CUAGAUUUUGACCCGCGCGCCCGCGCGGGUAUUAUUUUCCGAUAAUUAUGUUUGUUUUAUUUGUACUACUUUAGUUUAUUGUUGAGACUAUAUAUUUUGUUACUUUAUUGUGUUAUAUAUUUUUGUUCUUAGAUGUGUGUUGGAUCAGUCAUGUAAUUAUAUAUCUUUUUUUAAAAUGUAAGUAUGUAUUAAUAUAUCCUCAAAUGACCAUUAUGUAAGUUUUUCUUCCACAUCUAGU
rnacentral:lncRNA from 1 species